ensembl:snRNA U6 U6 spliceosomal RNA
GUGCUCGCUUCGGCAGCACAUAUACUAAAAUUGGAACGAUACAGAGAAGAUUAGCAUGGCCCCUGUGCAAGGAUGACAUGCAAAUUCAUGACGCGUAUCAUAUUUUU